GAAGUCUCAUGAGUCUUGGCGACAGUGCUCCACACCUUGCGUUACUCCAAUGACUCAAUAGGCCAAAUGACAUCGCAGCCAGGAAUGAGAGGAAAGGACUACAAAGAGAGGCAAGAGGAAAACAUGCUUGAAUUCAGAAACAUCUUGCUGUAUGGCCUUCAAAAGGAAGAUUCAUGUGCAGAAGGUAUGUUGGGAAGUUAAUGGUGAUGUGAAAAAACCAGAUCUUGCAGGAAGACAAAGACGAUAUGCACAUUGGUGCUGACAUGCUGGUCCCUAGGAAGAAAGAUGAGCCAAUGAGAGAGGAAGGGAAUGAAGCUAUUAGUGAAUUGUCAAGGGGGAAGAGCUACCGGAUAAUAGGUCAUGGGAGCAGGGGACUGAUGACCAAAAGUAAAGGUUAGAUUGUGAAGAAAUGGAAGCAUUUCCUUUCUUUCCAAAGAAUCAAGGGUGUAGGGAGAAACUGUCUAUGCAGAAGGUUGCUUAAGAAAACUUCAAGUCACUUUGCGAGUUCUAUAUAUUGAAAUUAGAUGGAGGAAUAGAGAUCAGUCUCAAGUUUGAGGUGACAAGUCUAGAACUUCUCCAGCCGAUAUGGACACAAAUCAAGUCUAGAAAAGUGUUUUUGUUCUUUUGUUCUGUUCUGUUCUGUUUUUGGCCCACUACUGCCAAGUCCUCAUAACUUGUUCAAUACCUUCUUACCUCCAGCUCAUACUGUAAAGUCUUUUCAAAAUAGCUCAGUUACUAUUGGAGUAUGAGAGUUAAAUGUGCUUUAUUGGCUGGACUGUGGCAUUAGGGCUUGCUUGAAUUCUACACUUGCUUGAAUUCUACUCUGUAAUCGAAGCAUAUUGAAGGAUCACAGCCAGUAUCUUUUGUGACUGGCAAUUGCAAUGGUAGAUGGUAGAAUCACCACUGUCACAAUCACCCUUUUGAUUUGGUCAUUGAUUCCAUGAACAUAUGGAUUUUUCAGCCUCCUUCCGUUUGUCCCCAUGAUUUCUCCUAUUACCUGGAAGAUUAUGGGAAGAACCCAAUUCAAUUAAA